GGUAUAUUGGACAAUGGGCGCAAGCCUGAUCCAGCCCUGCCGCGUGAGUGAUGAAGGCCCUAGGGUUGUAAAGCUCUUUUGUGCGGGAAGAUAAUGACGGUACCGCAAGAAUAAGCCCCGGCUAACUUCGUGCCCGCAGCAGCGGUAAUACGAAGGGGGCUAGCGUUGCUCGGAAUCACUGGGCGUAAAGGGUGCGUAGGCGGGUUCUUAAGUCAGAGGUGAAAGCCUGGAGCUCAACUCCAGAACUGCCUUUGAUACUGGGAAUCUUGAGUUCGGGAGAGGUGAGUGGAACUGCGAGUGUAGAGGUGAAAUUCGUAGAUAUUCGCAAGAACACCAGUGGCGAAGGCGGCUCACUGGCCCGAUACUGACGCUGAGGCACGAAAGCGUGGGGAGCAAAC
rnacentral:rRNA from 1 species